CCUGGAACAUUGCAUCCAGCUCUGGGGUCCCAGCACAGGAAGGAUAUGGACCUGUUGGAGUGAGUCCAGAGGACGGCCAUGAAGAUAAUCCAAGGACUGAACACCUCUCCUUUGCAUAAAUAUCAACCCAAAAAUGAAAGACUUAUUUAAAAUUGGAGAUGUGGUAGAUGACAGCAUCAGCAACAUAUGUCACUCAGCAUAUGAAUAAAUCAAGUCCCAUCGAUGGCUAAUGAAAGGCUUUUCAAUAUGCUUAACACUAAAUUACUUUUGAUUAAAAAGCUUAGUGGAGAGACAAAUGUAAACUAUAGCUAGGUGCUCUCACAUUAGACAGUUAUGUGCUGAAUCUAAUUUGAAAUGGAUAAGUGCUAACACAUUUAAUUUCCUGCAUACUCAGUGAGACAAUGUUCGCUUUUUUUUUAAAACAGUAAUUUCGAGUGAGCCUUUCAAAGUGCUUGAGUCAGCAUCACAGCAAGAGUGUUUGGAAAGAUGAUCAUGCAAAUGGAACUUCAAGUGAUUUAAUAUGCUCACUAUCACAGAAAUUACUGAAAAGUUUACUUUGAGAGGAACCCUUGGAAAUCACCUCGUCCAACUUUCUAUUGAAAAUGAGGCCCUGGAUUAGUUUAUGUAGGACUGUGUCAAGCUGAGUCUUCAGUGCCUCCAGCAAGGAAGAUUCCACCACUUCCAUGAUUUAAUUGACACGGAAUCAAAGAACAGUUGAGGCAAGAUGGGAUUUCUGGAGGUCAUCUGGCCAAACCCCUUGCUCAAACAGGUUGCCCAGGACUGUGUCUUCAUGUGAAGUAUUGGUUUUGCUAUAUCCAGAUCAAGUUUCCCCUGAAGCAACUUGUGUAUCUUGUAUCUUCUGGCACCUGUGCAUUCCUGUGCAGAGAGUGACUUCAUCUUCUCUGCAUCUGCCCGUCAGCUACUGGAAUACUGUCAUAAGGUCUCUGCUGAGCUCUCCCUUCUCUAGGCUGAGCAAAUCACAUUUCUCCAAUAUUUUUUUGGUAUAUCACAUUCAUGAGUCCUCUAAUCAACUUUGUGGAUCUUUGUUGGGCCCUCUCCAGUUCUUCAGUGUUCUUCUUGAGCUGAAAAACAGGAUGAAGUAUUCCAGGUGUGGUCUGACAAGUGCCAAGAGGAGUAAUGUCAGCCCCCAAGCUGUUGAGUUACCUUUGACUGACACAGUCCAGGACUCUCUUGUCCUUGUUACUGUCAGGGCACUCUGCUCACUCAAGCUUGCUGUCCCACAGGGACCUUCCUAGCAAGGCAUUAAGUCCCCAGCUGAGCAGUUAGGUAUAUCACCAGACUCAUCCAUCUGUCUGAUUUUAGUCAGGAUAUCUUCCCAGGUUCUCUUCCACCACUCUUUACUGCCUGCAUGUGGAUCUCAUGUAAGAAAGAUUUAAAAUGUGUUGAAAUGGUUGAAUUUUUCUAGUCCAAGGGAAAUAAAAAAUAGUGCUCCUGUUAAAGGUUUAGAAAAAGGGAUAGGUAUGUUAUGUCAUGAUGUAGUAAGAUUCCUGUCAGAAAAAAGAUACCCCAAGCACAAACUGUACUAGAGCCUGGCCAUUAAUGAGGAGUCAACCUGAAUACUUAACCAUCCCAUCUUUGAGGAACAGAUGACAUGCCAUGCUGUUCUUUUUCUGUUCCAUGAAUCAAUUAAAAAUAGGUAUGUGCAUUUUAUCUACAAUUUACCUAACUGCUAGCACCUUUUUUUAAUUUUAAAGUAUAAAAGAAGAGAUACAAAAGAGAUACAACAGGAGGUACAGAAGAGAUACAACCAACUCUCCAACCCAUGUGUCAGCCUCUACAUUGAUUCCAUUUUAGUUUAUCUGGUGAAAAAUCCCAGUCCUUUAUGUCAAAAUUGAUUACAUCAUACAUCUUCUGUUUCUGAUGCUCAUAUAGGCUCUUUAGCCUACUGAGACAAAUGUCUGUUUUUCAUGUUUCAACACCACUACUGUACCUGUGGAAAAAUGUGUACUCUUAUUGUGCUCAACCCAACUUGGUGUUAAAAAGUACUCUUUUGUUUAAAUUCCAUAUUGUGGGAUAAUAAUAAAUGGACAUGUUAUUAUUAAUAAUUUUUUACAAACUCUUAGAUUAAUCCAUGCACUUAUGCUUUAAACUGCCCUCUAUAUUUUCUGUAACCGGGAGGAGAACACCUUGUUAUCAGGAUAAUGCAAAUAGUAGUGGAAGAAACUAUAGUCUGUACUUCAUUUGCAAAAACCUUUAAAAAUAUGAGCUCUGCAUUUAAUAGAAAUACAAGAAAAAGUUAACAUUUGAAAAGGAAAAAGUAAAUGUAAUACAUAUUACAUGAACAUAUUGUAGUUGUAUAUGUAAUCUGAAAUCAAAUACUUUAGAAGAAAAUAUGACUCGAGUUUGUAACAAAGGCUGAUGUUUAUCAGAUCAAUCUCUAUUCUGUAGCUGACUAUGAAUUCUCAGAUAGCUGGGUAGUAUUUAAGAGAGAAGACAUCAUUGCGUACCGCAAGAAAUAAGAGGUGGGAAUUAGAAAAAAGUUUUUCGGGAUGGGCUGUGUACUGUGGUUUUAGAAUAACAUAACAUCCCUCCACAGCACUUUGUUUUCCCACUUCUCACCACCAUCGAAUAGGGUGUGCAGGCCCCCUGCACUGCACGCAGCUCUCACCAGUCGUUUCAUUAUCUUCUGCAGUAGUGCUUGCUCAGCUCACUGCUUGCAUUGCAGUAGUCGGUGUAUUACAGGGGGUUUACAGGCUCAUUUGAAACCUUUUCACACACAGUUACACCAGCAAAGGUACCCCCGACCCAGGCAUUUUUGCUGCAGUUUAUGAGAUUUAAAAGCAUAGGAUUGGCACAGAAAGAUACUCUGGGAGACUGGGAUUGUGGACCCCCUAAGAGAAGCGAGUCAAGACUGAGACAGGAUGAAGAGCUGAGAUACAGAUUAGCAGCCUAGUUACUAUAGUGAUGAAGAGGAGUGUUAUCUUGAAUGUGAGUGUCCUUUUCAGUGCUUGACAAAAUAGGUGCCUUUUUCUAAAAUAACAAUAUAAUUUGCGAAAGAAAAAACAAAAAGGCAAAUGUGUAAAUUGAGUAUGCUGCUUUCUGUCAUAUGCAUAUUUAUUUCACAAAGCUGCAAUGGUAAUAACCACAAACAGAUCUGGUACCAAAAAAAAAUCCCUGUAAAUAGGUAUACAGGAGCUGUUAUAUCAAUGAACUUACGACUUGUUAACAUUAAUGUUUUCAUGUAAAUUGUUUACCUGGCAAUAUGUGGAAUAGAAUCUGUAAUAAUCCUGUUCUUAAAAUCACCUCCCAGUUUCUGUUUUCUUUGUAAACAUCUACAGCCCCUUUUGUGAUAUAACUCCCUAAAGAACUGCAUUAUCAAUUAACUUGCCUGGCUUCAUUUCCCAGCUGUACAUCAGUGUCAUGUUAUGCGUUGAAAUGUCUGUCUUCAUACAUUUUCCUGUAGGAAAUAAAACCAAAAUGAUAUUUUUUGAAGCCUAACUGAGAACCGAUAAAACAGACAUAUAAUAUUUUCAGUACUGCAAAGAGAAAACUCACAUUUCAUACUGAUAAAAAUCCCUUCUGUUGAAAAUUAUGAACACUCUCUCUGGUAAUAUUUCCCAAGAGACUUUCAAAUUUCUGUUCCAGUAUUCUGUACUGCAAUGCAUGUGUUAAUAUUAUUUUUUAAUUAUUUUAUUGUAUUGGAUGUAUUUCAAAGAAAGCUGUUUGUUACCAUAUAGGAUGUUCCUCAUAAAGAUUAUUUUCUUUCAUAAAAUGA